rnacentral:rRNA from 1 species
UGCAUCGAGCGAGAACCCGCAAGGGGGACAGCGGCGAACGGGGUAGGAAUACGUAGGUAACGUACCCUCGGGGCGAGGACAGCCACGGGAAACUGUGGGUAAUACUCGAUAAACUUCCCAAUCAUUAUGGAAGGGGAAGCAAUGGGUGUGAUUCCACCUGAGGAGCGGCUUACGCAGUAUCAGCUUGUUGGUGAGGUAACGGCUCACCAAGGCUACGACGCUUAGGGGGUGUGAGAGCAUGGCCCCCACCACUGGCACUGAGACACUGGCCAGACACCUACGGGUGGCUGCAGUCGAGAAUCUUCGGCAAUGGACGCAAGUCUGACCGAGCGACGCCGCGUGCGGGAUGAAGGCCUUCGGGUUGUAAACCGCUGUCAGGGGGGAUGAAGUGUACGGGAGUUAUCUCCUGUAUUUGACAGAGCCUCAGAGGAAGCACGGGCUAAGUUCGUGCCAGCAGCCGCGGUAAUACGAACUGUGCGAACGUUAUUCGGAAUCACUGGGCUUAAAGGGUGCGUAGGCGGUUAUCUAAGUCAGGUGUGAAAUCUCUCGGCCCAACCGGGAAACUGCGCUUGAAACUGGAUGGCUGGAGUGAUGCAGGGGUGUGUGGAACUUCCGGUGGAGCGGUGAAAUGUGUAGAUAUCGGAAGGAACGCCAGCAGCGAAAGCGGCACACUGGGCAUUUUCUGACGCUGAGGCACGAAAGCUAGGGGAGUGAACGGGAUUAGAUACCCCGGUAAUCCUAGCCGUAACACUGAGCACUGGG